GUGCUCACUUCGGCAGCACAUAUAACUAAAACUGGAACAACGCAGAGAAGCUCAGCACGGCCCCUGUGCCUGGACGACACACACAUUUGUGAAGCGUUUCGUAUUUUG